rnacentral:rRNA from 1 species
AUACGGAGGAUGCGAGCGUUAUCCGGAUUUAUUGGGUUUAAAGGGUGCGUAGGCCGAAAUAUAAGUCAGCGGUGAAACGCCGGAGCUCAACUCCGACCCUGCCGUUGAAACUGUAUUUCUUGAGUAAAUUCGAGGUAAGCGGAAUUCGUAGUGUAGCGGUGAAAUGCAUAGAUAUUACGAGGAACUCCGAUAGCGCAGGCAGCAUACCAGACUUUAACUGACGCUGAGGCACGAAAGUGUGGGUAUCAAACAGGAUUAGAUACCCUGGUAGUCCACACAGUAAACGAUGAUUACUCGCUGUUUGCGAUACACAGUAAGCGGCCAAGCGAAAGCGUUAAGUAAUCCACCUGGGGAGUACGCCGGCAACGGUGAAACUCAAAUGAAUUGACGGGG